rnacentral:rRNA from 1 species
CCUACGGGAGGCAGCAGUGGGGGAUAUUGCACAAUGGGGGAAACCCUGAUGCAGCGACGCCGCGUGGGCGAAGAAGUAUUUCGGUAUGUAAAGCCCUAUCAGCAGGGAAGAAGAAAUGACGGUACCUGAGUAAGAAGCACCGGCUAAAUACGUGCCAGCAGCCGCGGUAAUACGUAUGGUGCAAGCGUUAUCCGGAUUUACUGGGUGUAAAGGGAGCGCAGGCGGCACGGCAAGCCUGAUGUGAAAGCCCGCGGCCCAACCGCGGGACUGCAUUGGGAACUACCGGGCUGGAGUGCCGGAGAGGUAGGCGGAAUUCCUAGUGUAGCGGUGAAAUGCGUAGAUAUUAGGAGGAACACCAGUGGCGAAGGCGGCUUACUGGACAGUAACUGACGUUGAGGCUCGAAAGCGUGGGGAGCAAACAGGAUUAGAUACCCUGGUAGUC